rnacentral:rRNA from 1 species
CCUACGGGAGGCAGCAGUGAGGAAUAUUGGUCAAUGGACGAGAGUCUGAACCAGCCACGUAGCGUGAAGGAUGACUGCCCUAUGGGUUGUAAACUUCUUUUAUAUGGGAAUAAAAUGUUCCACGUGUGGGAUUUUGUAUGUACCAUAUGAAUAAGGAUCGGCUAACUCCGUGCCAGCAGCAGCGGUACUACGGAGGAUCCGAGCGUUAUCCGGAUUUAUUGGGUUUAAAGGGAGCGUAGGUGGAUUGUUAAGUCAGUUGUGAAAGUUUGCGGCUCAACCGUAAAAUUGCAGUUGAAACUGGCAGUCUUGAGUACAGUAGAGGUGGGCGGAAUUCGUGGUGUAGCGGUGAAAUGCUUAGAUAUCACGAAGAACUCCGAUUGCGAAGGCAGUUCACUGGACUGCAACUGACACUGAGGCUCGAAAGUGUGGGUAUCAAACAGGAUUAGAUACCCCAGUAGUC